rnacentral:rRNA from 1 species
UACGUAGGGGGCGAGCGUUGUCCGGAAUCAUUGGGCGUAAAGAGCGUGUAGGCGGCUCGGUCAGUCUGGUGUGAAAUCUUGAGGCUCAACCUCAAGCUGUCAUCGGAUACUGCCGGGCUAGAAUCCGGAAGAGGAGAGUGGAAUUCCUGGUGUAGCGGUGGAAUGCGCAGAUAUCAGGAGGAACAUCCGUGGCGAAGGCGGCUCUCUGGUACGGUAUUGACGCUGAGACGCGAAAGCGUGGGGAGCGAACAGG